rnacentral:snoRNA from 1 species
UUUGAAAGUGUAACAUCUCUCUAACCACGAUGACGAGUUAAGAUGCUUUCUUCUGAGCGUGAAUCGGGUGGUGAGCGACGAGCGAGAUUGUCUGCUCUCUGUCGUUGAUGAACGUUCCUGCUGUGCUUUGCAGUCUGGAAGAAGAAAGCAUGUUCAGAGUGGU